rnacentral:tRNA from 1 species
GCCGAAGUGGUGAAAUUGGUAGACGCACCGGUUUCAGGGACCGGCGAGCUUAUCGCUUGUGGGGGUUCGAGUCCCCCCUUCGGCA